UACAGAGGUGACUAACGUUGUCCGGAAUUACUGGGCGUAAAGGGUUCGUAGGUGGCCACUUAAGUCAGACGUGAAAUCCCUCAGCUUAACUGGGGAACUGCGUCUGAUACUGGGUGGCUUGAGUGCAGGAGAGGAAUGCGGAAUUCCAGGUGUAGCGGUGAAAUGCGUAGAUAUCUGGAGGAACACCGGUGGCGAAGGCGGCAUUCUGGACUGUAACUGACACUGAGGAACGAAAGCCAGGGGAGCAAACGGG
rnacentral:rRNA from 1 species